UCCCUACGGGGGGCAGCAGUGGGGAAUAUUGCACAAUGGGGGAAACCCUGAUGCAGCGACGCCGCGUGAGUGAAGAAUUAUUUCGGUAUGUAAAGCUCUAUCAGCAGGGAAGAAAAUGACGGUACCUGAGUAAGAAGCCCCGGCUAACUACGUGCCAGCAGCCGCGGUAAUACGUAGGGGGCAAGCGUUAUCCGGAUUUACUGGGUGUAAAGGGAGCGUAGACGGCUGCGCAAGUCUGAAGUGAAAGCCCGGGGCUCAACCCCGGGACUGCUUUGGAAACUGUGUAGCUAGAGUGCUGGAGAGGC
rnacentral:rRNA from 1 species